AUACGUAGGUGGCAAGCGUUAUCCGGAAUCAUUGGGCGUAAAGGGUGCGUAGGUGGCGUACUAAGUCUGUAGUAAAAGGCAAUGGCUCAACCAUUGUAAGCUAUGGAAACUGGCAGACUUGAGUGCAGUAGAGGCAAGUGGAAUUUCUAGUGUAGCGGUUAAAUGCGUAGAUAUUAGAAGGAACACCAGUGGAGAAGGCGGCUUGCUGGGCUGUUACUGACGCUGAGACACGAAAGCGUGGGGAGCAAAUAGGAUUAGAUACCCUAGUAGUCCACGCCGUAAACGAUGAGUACUAAGUGUCGGGUAACCGGUGCUGAAGUUAACACAUUAAGUACUCCGCCUGAGUAGUACGGUCGCAAGGCUGAAACUCAAAUGAAUUGACGGGG
rnacentral:rRNA from 1 species